rnacentral:rRNA from 1 species
UACGUAGGGCGCAAGCGUUAUCCGGAAUUAUUGGGCGUAAAGAGCUCGUAGGCGGUUUGUCGCGUCUGCCGUGAAAGUCCGGGGCUCAACUCCGGAUCUGCGGUGGGUACGGGCAGACUAGAGUGAUGUAGGGGAGACUGGAAUUCCUGGUGUAGCGGUGAAAUGCGCAGAUAUCAGGAGGAACACCGGUGGCGAAGGCGGGUCUCUGGGCCUUACCUGACGCUGAGGAGCGAAAGCGUGGGUAGCGAACAGG